GACGAACGCUGGCGGCGUGCUUAACACAUGCAAGUCGAACGGAAAGGCCCUGCUUUUGUGGGGUGCUCGAGUGGCGAACGGGUGAGUAACACGUGAGUAACCUGCCCUUGACUUUGGGAUAACUUCAGGAAACUGGGGCUAAUACCGGAUAGGAGCUCCUGCUGCAUGGUGGGGGUUGGAAAGUUUCGGCGGUUGGGGAUGGACUCGCGGCUUAUCAGCUUGUUGGUGGGGUAGUGGCUUACCAAGGUUUUGACGGGUAGCCGGCCUGGGAGGGUGACCGGCCACAUUGCGACUACGAUAGGGCCCAGACUCCUACGGGAGGCAGCAGUGGGGAAUAUUGCACAAUGGGCUGAAGCCUGAUGCAGCAACGCCGCGUGCGUGAUAACGUCCUUCGAGUUGUGAACCGCUUUCUCCUUUGACAAAGCGUGAGUGACGGUAAUGGGUAAGAAAGCACCGGCUAACUACGUG
rnacentral:rRNA from 1 species